CACACCGCCCGUCACGCCAUGGAAGUUGAUCUUGCCCGAAGUCGCUGCGCUAACCGCAAGGAAGUAGGCGACCACGGUGAGGUUAAUGACUGGGGCG
rnacentral:rRNA from 1 species